ensembl:snRNA U6 U6 spliceosomal RNA
GUACUCACUUCGGCAGCACAUGCACUAAAAUUGUAAUGAUACAGAGAUUAGCAUGGCCCCUGCAGAAGGAUGACAAGCAAAUUCAUGAAGCUUUCCAUAUUUUU